GCCAGUGAUGACAAAUUGGAUUAAAUUCCUGAAGGCAGGUUUUUAUGGGCUUGGCUUUUGGUGUUGAAAUUUCUGAACUAGGACGGUCUGAGGC
rfam:Eucalyptus grandis cultivar BRASTZ1 unplaced genomic scaffold scaffold_8, whole genome shotgun sequence.